AAUGAAUUGCCUGAAAAAAGGGUUAUCUUGAUAGGAUAAAUUAUGUAAUAAUAUUACAUUCAUUG
rnacentral:tRNA from 1 species